rnacentral:rRNA from 1 species
CAAGUCGAACGCGAAAGUCCCGCAAGGGAUCAGUAGAGUGGCAAACGGGUGAGUAACGCGUGGGCGACCUACCUUCGAGUGGGGGAUAACCUUCCGAAAGGAGGGCUAAUACCGCAUGACAUUCCGUGUUUGGAUACACGGGUAUCAAAGCCGGGGAUCGCAAGACCUGGCGCUUGAAGAGGGGCCCGCGUCCGAUUAGCUAGUUGGUGGGGUAAUGGCUCACCAAGGCUCCGAUCGGUAUCCGGCCUGAGAGGGCGGACGGACACACUGGGACUGAGACACGGCCCAGACUCCUACGGGAGGCAGCAGUGGGGAAUUGUUCGCAAUGGGCGCAAGCCUGACGACGCAACGCCGCGUGGAGGAUGAAGACCUUCGGGUCGUAAACUCCUUUCGACCGAGAUGAAUUCCCGCCGACCUAACACGUCGGCGGGGUGACAGUAUCGAGGGAAGCAGCCCCGGCUAACUCCGUGCCAGCAGCCGCGGUAAUACGGGGGGGGCAAGCGUUGUUCGGAAUUACUGGGCGUAAAGGGUUCGUAGGUGGCCCGCUAAGUCACACGUGAAAUCCCUCAGCUUAACUGGGGAACUGCGUGUGAGACUGGCGGGCUUGAGUGCAGGAGAGGAACGCGGAAUUCCAGGUGUAGCGGUGAAAUGCGUAGAUAUCUGGAGGAACACCGGUGGCGAAGGCGGCGUUCUGGACUGUAUCUGACACUGAGGAACGAAAGCCAGGGGAGCAAACGGGAUUAGAUACCCCGGUAGUCCUGGCCCUAAACGAUGAAUGCUUGGUGUGACGGGUAUCGAUCCCUGUCGUGCC